CCUACGGGAGGCUGCAGUGGGGAAUAUUGGACAAUGGGGGGAACCCUGAUCCAGCCAUGCUGCGUGUGUGAAGAAGGCCCUCGGGUUGUAAAGCACUUUCAGUGAGGAAGAACGCCUGGUGGUUAAUACCCAUCAGGAAAGACAUCACUCACAGAAGAAGCACCGGCUAACUCCGUGCCAGCAGCCGCGGUAAUACGGAGGGUGCGAGCGUUAAUCGGAAUUACUGGGCGUAAAGCGCGCGUAGGUGGCUUGAUAAGCCGGUUGUGAAAGCCCCGGGCUCAACCUGGGAACGGCAUCCGGAACUGUCAAGCUAGAGUGCAGGAGAGGAAGGUAGAAUUCCCGGUGUAGCGGUGAAAUGCGUAGAGAUCGGGAGGAAUACCAGUGGCGAAGGCGGCCUUCUGGACUGACACUGACACUGAGGUGCGAAAGCGUGGGUAGCAAACAGGAUUAGAUACCCCGGUAGUC
rnacentral:rRNA from 1 species